AAGCUGGAAUCGCUAGUAAUCGCGGAUCAGAAUGCCGCGGUGAAUACGUUCCCGGGUCUUGUAUACACCGCCCGUCACACCAUGGGAGUCAGUAACGCCCGAAGUCAGUGACCUAACCGAGAGGGAGGAGCUGCCGAAGGCGGGACGGAUAACUGGGGUGAAGUCGUAACAAGGUAGC
rnacentral:rRNA from 1 species